rnacentral:rRNA from 1 species
AUGCUUUUCCUAAAGAUUAAGCCAUGCAUGCCUAAGACUAUGAGGAAGCAAUUCUCUCUGAAUCUGCGAACGGCUCCGCAAACCAGUUAUAAACCAUAGCAGCGUUCCGCCCGGCUUCAGCAAUGGAGCCGGGCAUUAUAUGGAUAACCGUGGUAAUUCUGAGGCUAAUACAUGACACACCAACCUGCCGGGCUGGGGGCAACUCCGGCUAGGUGGGGGACGUGCAAACUCCCAUUGCUAUAACAAAACCACGAAUGAAUG